GAAACAGUUCAAUCUGUAGUCCUGAUGCAAGCGGAAGUUAAUAUUCUGGUGUCAGCUUAUUUCAUAAUUGGAGAUUUUCCAAAAAGUCUUGUAAAUGCUGAUGAGUUUCAAUGAUGCAAGAAAGACCUGUAAACUAGGAAAAUUUUAGUGGUUGGGCAAAAGUUAGUCAAUCUUCUGGGAGAAUCCAAACAUCAUUAUUGUACCAAUUUAAGCUGGGGUGACC